AAACAAAAUAAGAACAAGCAAGAUCACAAGAACUUCACAUUUGCAACAUUAAAAUAAGACACCUCACAUAACUGAUUUAUGUAUUUACUGAGGAUAAAUUACAUCUGGCGAAUAAUCUGCUCUUAAAAGAUGACACACAACGAAUUCUGUGAGCCUUGUGGGUCAA
rnacentral:lncRNA from 1 species